UACGUAGGUGACAAGCGUUAUCCGGAUUUACUGGGUGUAAAGGGCGUGUAGGCGGAAAUGCAAGUCAGAAGUGGAAUCCAUGGGCUUAACCCAUGAACUGCUUUUGAAACUGUAUCCCUUGAGUAUCGGAGAGGCAGGCGGAAUUCCUAGUGUAGCGGUGAAAUGCGUAGAUAUUAGGAGGAACACCAGUGGCGAAGGCGGAUUGCUGGACGGCAACUGACGGUGAGGCGCGAAAGUGUGGGGAGCAAAC
rnacentral:rRNA from 1 species